UUUUUUUUUUUAAAUGUGGACUUCAUUGAGUUGAUCUUUUGAUAAUCUGCUACCUGGAUAAUUUGUACUGCUAAAGUUUUAAUAAACUUGAAAUGAAAAGAAAAACAACACUUUGGUGUAAUACUGUGUGCUAUGUUAAAUUCUUAUGUAUUCAUUUUUGUGUUGCAACCGUCAAUAGCAGCCUACUUUGCUUAAUCAGCCAUUUGGAAACAAGCUUAACUGUUGGUUGCAGUACAUUGUUGUAUAGGCUUGUGUUUCUUUUGAUACAAAUCCCUUUAGAAACCACUUGAAGUUUUGUAUAGCUUUUUGGGCUUUGAUUUUUCAUUUAUAAUUCAUGGGCUUAGAGCAGUUUCCUUAACUAACAGAAGCAGGAUCCUUAUGUGAUCUUAAACCUUCAUUUGAUUUUACAGUUAUUUGUACUUUAGUUACUUUUUUUGUGCUUUAUACCUUAUACUUUACAAUUCCAGCUGUAGCUUGUUUCUUAAUAUUGUCCACGUUGCUCUGCGAGCUAUAAAAAUGAGGUGAGUGCUGUUUUCAGUUCAUGUGCUGAUUGAGCUUGAGUUGCUGUUAUACAGCAUUUGACAGAAAUUAGACCUUGGAAGACCAGACUGUAAUUUUCAAUUCUUUGUUGCUUUUGGUGUGAAGAGCUGAAAUUGUUGCUUUUUAAGAACAUGUUAUUACCUUUUUCUACAAUUUAAAAAAUGCAUUUCUCAUUAAAACAUACUACUUGUGUAGAUCCUUCUUAAGCUAGACAGAUUCUAAAAAGCGUUAGUAUUGGAAAUAAGAUUUCCCUAUUUUGGCUAUUAGCCUAUAUCACAUUGAGUGGUAAUUCUGCAUGAUUUGGGUUUGUUUUUUGUUUUUUUUUUUUUAAACUUGGACUAACUUCUCUGAUUCUCAUAGCUGUGAAUAUGAAAUGUCAAGAAGAUGCAUCUUUCUAUAUAUGUACCAUGAUAGGCUGUGUAGCAUGUUUGUGACUCUGGUUUCUUUCUAUUCAGAUGGCUUUAGACCAGUUUACUGUUAACAUUAUUUUAACUUGGCAUGUAUAACAUUGCCAUAUAAAGUAGAAUAGAAAGUUGCAAAAUAUGAUACCGUGCAGAGUUAAACACUAAACAUAUCCAAAGUCCAUUCAGAAUUUUGUGUGUUGUAUUUUGCUAUUUUUUUGUGAUGUGUGGCCUUUUAUUCUGUAAUAUCCUUCUAAAUAAAACAUUGAACAUCCAGCAAACACAAAACCUGCCUCAUUUGAGAAAUAUUUCAAAAAUCCAAUUAAUAGUAGCCUUUAGGACGUUUUUGUACUCUAAUAUUUGUCAGUAUAGUGUCAGCUCUUACCAAGGUAGCUUCUUGGUAAACCCACUAGCUUUUCAAUGAUAUUUGUACUGAAUAAAGUGAUGCUUAAUAUACUUCCCAUUAUUGAUUACUAUGGUAAGAUAUAUUUGGCAUUGUAGCUGGUACAGAAUGAAGAGUGCAGUGAUUAUAAAGCUAUUUGGAACAUCCUAAAGCAAAUACCCACAAUGGAUUCUUUACAAAUAGUUUUUCUUGAUGGGAAUAGUUAAUAUAUACGUGAUCUGUUACAUGUCUUAAAAAGUUGAUUAUGUCUUAAAUUCAGUUGUGUUUUAAAAUAUAUCCCAAACUACCUGAUCUUUAAGAAAGGAAUUUCAACAAACAUUUUAAAAUCCAUACUUUUUUUAAGUAAAAUUACUUUUUUUUUCUUAUCUAGAGCUUUUACUUGUUAGCAUAUACAUUAUAAACAAGAACUUUCCAGUUCUUUAGGAAAGUAAACAUGGGAGAAAAUUGGUAAUGUCUGUAAUAUCCUCCAAGAGAGCAGCUCAGAGCUGAGCAUUUACGGGCUCCCCCAACUCCUGCUUUGUUAGUUUGUUAUUUUUUUCAAUAUGACAGAUAAUGGGGUAAAUAGUUGAGAAAAGACAAUCUAGAUUUUUUUUUCAGAAUAAAUAAUUAACAGCAUUAAUUGUACCCCAAGAUUCACAGUUAUCAAUUGCACAAAGCCCAAAUUCUUGUUCUAGUAGAUUUUUAGUUAUUUGUACAUCAUAUUCCCAAAACUAUUUCCCAUUUCAAUUUUCCCAUCACAUUGGCUUUCUAAGAAUAUCUAAAUUUACAGCUAAUGAAUAGUUUUUAAUACCCCUUGAAAGUACUUUCACUUGUUUUUAUUGCUUGACUCCAAAGCUGAGGAAAUUAUUUCAGUAUGUAAGACUUUGAUGAUUAUUGUAUGAAUUAUUGUUCUGGAUAAGUUGUUUACCACAGAAAUUGACACUACAAAGAGAUCGUUAGAGAAAGUAAAGCUACUGUAUUGUACUGCAUUGUAGCUGAUACAGAAUGGUUACUUGCUGUAAAGACAAGACUGUCUGGGAACAGCUAUCCAACGUUUAAAGUGCUCUUUCACUUAAAAGUUAUGCUAAUCUGCUAGCUUUCUUUGCCCCAGUGUGAUCCAGCUGCUCACUGGCUUUGCUUGCAUCCAGUGGUAGGUGUCAAACCAAGAACCUUUAUGUUCUGGAUAGGCACAUGCUGGGGUUCUGGUAUUUUGGGUAAUAGUAUUAACUACUGCUCCUACUUUAUUUUCUAGUGACUACUUAGAGCAGUUAGUAUAAUUGAUCCUUUGUUCCAUGUGUUAAUAGCUUUCAUCAUGGAACCUUUUACAGCAAAUUUCUGUAAAUUUCCCAGAAAGGACUUAGACUUAACUGAUUGGUAUAAAAAACUAAAUGAGCAUUUUUCAUUCUUUUGUUUCUAUUUACUGUAAUUAUUCCCUGUAGGGUUUAUGCAUUUACAGUUGACAAACUCUCUGUGUAGUUUGAGAAACUUUAAUUGUAAGAAUAUAUUUUUAAACUAAUUGUUUUUAAAAAUAAAGUAUCCCAAGGAAACUGAGUGUUGAUUGCCAUUACUGCCUGCAGUGGGCUUCUCAAUGUCUUGAAGGGAUUCACCUGCUGUGUGACAAAUAAACAACAAAUCACAUUC
rnacentral:lncRNA from 1 species